AGUUGAUAAUAUGCUGGGCUCGCAUGGAUUAUUUCCAUGAGAAUUCAGUAGAACCUUGAAAACUGCAUA
rnacentral:misc_RNA from 1 species